UUUCCGUAGGUGAACCUGCGGAAGGAUCAGUCUUGAUAACACAAGCUGAUGCGGUCGGACGCGGUGCUUGCGCCGCUCGACCUGCGUUGGGGGAGCCGUGCACUCGUGCCGGUUUCUAAUCCCAUCUGUGGUUUGGAACACCACGUUAAUCGGAGCGAGAGUGUCAUUAACUCCGCCCACACAUGCGCCGAGACGAUGUGUAUGCUCGAGGCCGCUGGGAUGUCUCGUAUCGCACGCAGACGUAAGACCCGUGGUCUCGGUGUCAUUCCACCCAUCUAACUUGAAUAAAUGCGAGGAACUUACAACUGGUAGCGUUGGAUCCCUCGGCAUG
rnacentral:misc_RNA from 1 species